rnacentral:rRNA from 1 species
GGUAUUUUGACCGUGCAAAGGUAGCAUAAUCAUUAGUUUUUUAAUUGAAAGCUGGAAUGAAAGGUUGGAUGAAAAAUAAGCUGUCUCUAUUUAAAUUUAUUAGAAUUUUAUUUUUAAGUUAAAAAGCUUAAAUUUUAAUAGAAGACGAGAAGACCCUAUAGAGUUUUAUUUAUUUUAUAGAUAAAAAUAAUAGUAUUGAUCAUUUUUGUCUGUAAGAUAAAUUUAGUUGGGGUGAUUGAAAAAUUUAAUAAACUUUUUUUAUAUAUAUACAUUAAUUUAUGAUUAUUUGAUCCUUAGUUUAAGAUUAAAAGAUAAAAUUACCUUAGGGAUAACAGCGUAAUUUUUUUUGAGAGUUCUAAUCGAAAGAAAAGAUUGCGACCUCGAUGUUGGAUUAAAAUAAAAUUUUGGUGUAGAAGCUAAAA